AGGUGGACGAUGGCGAGGCGACUUUCUGGUCUGUACUGACGCUGAUGUGCGAAAGCGUGGGGAUCAAACAGGAUUAGAUACCCUGGUAUUCCACGCCGUAAACCAUGAAAGCUAAGUGUUAGGGGGUUUCCGCCCCUUAUUGCUGCAGCUAACGCAUUAAGCACUCCGCCUGGGGAGUACGACCGCAAGGUUGAAACUCAAAGGAAUUGACGGGGACCCGCACAAGCGGUGGAGCAUGUGGUUUAAUUCAAAGCAACGCGAAGAACCUUACCAAAUCUUGACAUCCUUUGACAACUCUAGAGAUAGAGCCUUCCCCUUCGGGGGACAAAGUGACAGGUGGUGCAUGGUUGUCGUCAGCUCGUGUCGUGAGAUGUUGGGUUAAGUCCCGCAACGAGCGCAACCCUUAAGCUUACUUGCCAUCAUUAAGUUGGGCACUCUAAGUUUACUGCCGGUGACAAACCGGAGGAACGUUUUGAUGAUGGCAACGCAUAAAGCCCCUUGUUAUUUGGCUCUACAC
rnacentral:rRNA from 1 species